AAAAACAUGGCCUUUUGAAUUUAAUUUAAGGUCUCGCCUGCCCAAUGAAUAAUUUAAUGGCCGCGGUAUUUUGACCGUGCAAAGGUAGCAUAAUCAUUUGUUUUUUAAUUGAAAGCUGGAAUGAAAGGUAGGAUAAGAAAAUUACUGUCUCUAUUUAAAUUGAUUAUAAUUUUAUUUUUAAGUUAAAAAGCUUAAUUAAAUUUUGAAGACGAGAAGACCCUAUAGAGUUUAAUAAUUAUUAAUGUUAAAGAUUUAAGAAUUAAUUUUUUUUAAUUUUAUAUAUUAUUUAAUUGGGGUGAUUAAAAAAUUAAUUAAACUUUUUUUGUAUGGUUACAUAGAUUAAUGAAUAGUUGAUCCUUAAAUAAAGAUUAAAAGAUUAAAUUACCUUAGGGAUAACAGCGUAAUUUUUUUUUAGAGUUCAAAUUGAAAAAAAAGAUUGCGACCUCGAUGUUGGAUUAAAAUUUAUAUUUGGUGUAGCAGCUAAAUGGUCAGGUCUGUUCGACCUUUAAAAUUUUACUUGAUCUGAGUUCAAACCGGUGUAAGCCUAGGUUGGUUUCUAUCUCGAAAAAAUUAUAAUGUUUUAGUACGAAAGGACCAAAUUUUGAAUUUAAAGUUUUAUAUUUGAAUAAUAUUAAGUUAUUUUGGCAGAAUAGUGCGAUAGAUUUAGAAUCUUUAUAUGUAAGAAUUUACAAAUAAUACUUGAUAUUAAGGGAUUUAUUUAUAAUAUUAAUUUCUAUAUUGAUUUUAAUUUUUUGUGUUAUAAUUAGGGUUGCUUUUUUAACAUUAUUAGAACGUAAGGUUUUAGGAUAUAUUCAAAUUC
rnacentral:rRNA from 1 species